UUUCUUAUGAUUUUCCUUUACUCAUAGUAAGUACUGAAUAUUUUGUGCUUCAACCCUUUAGGUGUUAAUUUCUAUGAUGUGGCUAGCAAAGUUGGCAACAGCUGGAGCUACCUGGAACUUUCAAUUUUGGUGCCAAGAUGGAUGGAUUCAACUGGGUGACCCACAGUCAGGGCGUGGCCGCGGCUGCGGCGCGGGCAGCAAGGACGAGCGCCGCAAGGGAGCCGAUGGGCGUGGGCGUGAACCGGGGAGAGGAGACCAUGGCGGAGGAGAUGAGAGAAG